rnacentral:snRNA from 1 species
GGGAGACAUCUAGACACAAACCAUAAUGCCACACCAUGUGUGUCCAUCUCCAAAUUGCAUGUUAUUGAAGAGGAUGACCAUCCCCCAAUAGAGGAGAACUGAGGACCAUUACCUCAGUCGAGGGCAUACGAGUAGCUGUGCUCCCCUGCUAGAAGCUCCAAACAAGCUCUCAAGAAAUACCAAUAUCCAAACAUCAUGAAAACCAGGGACUUGCAUCUUUACAAAAAGAAACAACAAAAACUUAUCACUUGUCUUU